rnacentral:rRNA from 1 species
GACGAACGCUGGCGGCGUGCUUAACACAUGCAAGUCGAGCGGUAAGGCCCUUUCGGGGGUACACGAGCGGCGAACGGGUGAGUAACACGUGGGUGACCUGCCCUCAGCUCUGGGAUAAGCCUGGGAAACCGGGUCUAAUACUGGAUAUGACUCCAUGACGCAUGUUGUGGGGUGGAAAGCCUUGUGCGGCUGAGGAUGGGCCCGCGGCCUAUCAGCUUGUUGGUGGGGUGAUGGCCUACCAAGGCGACGACGGGUAGCCGGCCUGAGAGGGCGACCGGCCACACUGGGACUGAGACACGGCCCAGACUCCUACGGGAGGCAGCAGUGGGGAAUCUUGCGCAAUGGGCGAAAGCCUGACGCAGCGACGCCGCGUGAGGGAUGACGGCCUCGGUGUAACGUACUUCUA